AGCGUGCGCUGAGAGCGCGAAUGAAAGCAGAACUCCGGCAGGGAGAGAGGGGAAAAAGAGAGAACUUCGUGAUUCCACUACACACAGACAGAUACGGGAUAAAAGACGAGUCCGUGGACAGUUCUUAUAGACAUUUUUGUUUAUUUUCUUUUUAAAUCAACGUUUGUAGUGGAUGUAAAGGGACUAAAAUAGAUUAGGAGGAAUGUAUCCUGAUCGGGCAACAGUGACCCACCGUCUUCUGAUAUGUCAUCUUAACAUUCUCCGGGCCAUGGUGCUACUGCAGGCAGUUUUAGAGAUGACUGCGACUGUGCCAGAUGGGGCUUCAGUAUGGUUCUUCGUGGUCUGACCAAAUGCAGUCUUCCAGUGAACCACCAGGGGCCCGCGGUCCACAGGUUGAAGACCCCACCCCCACCCCAUCUUCCACCCCCCUGCAGUGGAGACACACCAGCCCCCUGGGCAUGUCCUCCACCCAUUGAACUACCACCAGCCCCCCCCAGAAGCGGAGACACACCAGCCCCCUGGGCCUCUCCUCCACCCCCUCAUCUACCACCCCCCAAUGUUCUUAAAUGUUUUUCAAUGCAAAAUAUGUUCAAUUGGAAUCAGAAUUUGGUUUAAGAUAUGUAGAUGAUACUGACCCGACCAUUUAGCAUCAGUCACAUUUCUGGGAACAAGUUAUCUGCCAUCUCCAUAUUUAUGCAUAUACUAGCUGUGACGAUGUUCUUAUAUCAUAGAUCUAUUUUGUACAUUAUUCUACAGCAGUUAGGCAUAUUUAUGACUAAUAAUAGUCUUUCACUAAGUCAUCACAAAGACAAACAAUGGUUCUCCUUACCACACCUAACCUGUAAACAUCCCGUGACUGUAUUUAACCUUUAUAACUGCCGUAGCUAACCUUUAUAACUGCCCGUAGCUAACCUUUAGAACUGCUGCAUAUAACCUUUAUAACCACCGUAUCUAACUUUAUAACUGCUGUAUAUUGGAGGCAGGUGUCCAGAUGGUGUCUGAGCACUUAUGACAAGUAGUUUCCGUAGUUUUAAUGUUUUAAAACAGGAGCACUGUCAUUGGAUAUGGGUUUCCCCCCUUUGGUGACCAAUGUGAUUGUAAUUUGUUAUUGUUUUUCUGUCUAUGACUAAUCACCAGGUUAAGGAUGUCUGUGUUUGUUCAGAUUGCACCAGUACUCCCUAUUGGUUCUGGUUAUUACUCAAAGUGGUCAUGGGAGGCGGUGCUUUCCGUGCCAUUAUUCCGGCAUGCCGUUCUCUGAGAACAGAGUCCAUAACUCGCAAUGUUAAUCCAAGAUACAUGGCUGGAUGAAGUUAGGUUUUUCACAUGGGAUUUUAUGACGGAACAGGAAUUUGAAGAAGACAGACUGUUGACACUAAAGGCACUUUACCUCGGUAAAACGUCACCCCGGAGGGAUGGGUUCAGUCUUUUUCUAAGACUCCUGUCAUCCUCCUGUGCUCUUAUACAUCUCACUCUUCUCCUAAUGCAUGCUACAGUAACUUGCAAUCCACUGGUGCAUCUCCAACAGCCUUUGCAGACCUCUAGGAAUGUGGAGGAACUAUAUAAUGGGUGUACUUUGUGUGUGUGUGUGUGUGUGCGCGCACGCUUAUGCGCGUGUGUACGUGGAUUUGUGAAGGAUUAGCCUGCGCUCGUGUGUGAGAUCAUGCCAGCGUGUGUGUGUGUUUUGUGACAGUUUGGGACUAGUUGAAAGCGCCUGGAAAGAAAAGAAAGUCACACCACUUCUGUGAAUCUGGACUAAGUCAUAAAUAAGACAGUCCAUUGCUGGUCCCUUGGUGCUUUCAAACAACAUUGUGUAAACCAUGUCAUGCAUUAGCAAUUACCUACUUCCCUUUUCAUGUUAACCUCAUUAUGUUUGCCAAGUUUAUAUGUUUUGUAGAUGGUGUCUUGUCUUAUUGUUUAAUUGAUGGUUACUUACAGUAGUAAUUAAAGGUCAUGCAGUUAUUGUGUAAUUGUAUGUUAAACUGAUUGUUGUGGAUUCUUCUAUCUGCACGCUAAUGUAUACAUUUCUUAUUUAAUUUGUUUAUCCUCCCUCUCACUCCUCACCUUAGUUUGUUGUAUGUUUAGUUUUGCAAGAAGUGGCAGCAGUUGUGAAACUACUCAUUCAUUGGCAGAACAUUAAGCUCAUUAAUGACAGUCUCAUUUAAAGUUCCUUUGUCUAGAUAUUCCAUAUCUUGUGGAAC
ensembl:lncRNA